CAGAAGAACAGUCAGUCCUGAAUGUUUCCCGAGUUUUAGAAUCACAGAAAACAACAAAGCUAGGGAAUCAAUCCAGUUUCUGGAGAUCAGACAUGAAACUGUAAGAGAGGACAUCUUGCACUAUCACCUGUUGUGUGCUUCAGGCUGCUGAUGGAGGGAGGAGCUGGUGACCUUCAUGGAGAGAGUACCAGAGGCUCGUGCUGCCACCUGCUGGAAGAACAAAGAAAUACAGAGCUACUCAACUCCACACUGCUGCUCCUUCUGGCCAAAAACCACCAACUUAGACAACAAUUCUCCAGGGUGCAUGAAUGAGAAAUCUCAUUAAGCCCAUGGAGCAGAGCUCUCUGAAGAACAGCGACGUCCUCAUCCUAACAGGCCUGACCCAGAUCCCCACCGCCAACCCAGAUGGCAUGCUGGGAGGAUUCUGCAGCAACCUGGCCAUGACGAUCCGUGCUGGUGCUGUGUUAUUCGUCCGGGGUCAUCUGUGACCUGCUGGAGUGUCUGUAUCAGUUCAUGGACUCG